UGCUACUUUGAGAUAUUAUAAAGUUUGAUUCUUUCUUUUAGUUUUGGGUGAAAACGAAUUUUAUAUGCAAAUUUUAGUAUGAAAGGUAAUUAUUGUUUGAAAAGAUAAUAAUGUUGUUUAAUUUAAUGUGCGCAGUAUUUGGUUUUGAAUAAUUGAUGUUUAUCAGAAUUUAGUUCGUUAAAAAAGCUGGGUAAAGUCGUGCCAGCAGCCGCGGUUAGACGAAGGGCUUGACUAAAGUUUUUCGGUAAAAUAGUAAGGAAUUGUUAGAUGUUGUGUUUAUUUGUAAGAUAAAAUAUUUAAGUGAAAUUAGUUUUUGCUGUUUAAGAUUGAUUUGACAUUGAUUUGAUUUAUAUAAAUUUAAUUUAAGACUAGGAUUAGAUACCCUAUUAUUGAAAUAACAUUAUUUUAUCAGGGUAGUAAGUUGUUUUGAAACCUAAAGAAUUUGGCGGUAUUUUAGUCUUUUCAGAGGAACCUGUCCCUUAAUCGAUAUUACUCGUUUUGUCUUUCUUAGUUUGGUGCAGUUAAUUUUGUAUACCGUCGUCGUUCAGAAUUUUUUUUUAAGAAUUAAUUUUCUAGAGGUUUUAGGUAAAAAUUACGUCAGAUCAAGGUGCAGAUUAUAGCUAAGUGGUGAUGGGUUACAAUAAUUUAAUUAUACGGAAUAUUAACUUUUAAAGUGUGAGUUUUGGAAGGUGGAUUUGAUUGUAAAAUUUUUUAAGGAAAAAGGUUUGAGUUUGGCUCUAGGAUAUGCACACAUCGCCCGUCACUCUCAUUUUAAAGUGAGAUAAGUCGUAACAUAGUAGGGGUACUGGAAGGUGCCCCUGGUUUGAAAAUAUUU
rnacentral:ncRNA from 1 species